rnacentral:rRNA from 1 species
GUUGAACGCUGGCGGCAUGCCUUACGCAUGCAAGUCGAACGGCAGCACGGGAGCAAUCCUGGUGGCGAGUGGCGAACGGGUGAGUAAUAUAUCGGAACGUGCCCAGUGGUGGGGGAUAACGCAGCGAAAGCUGUGCUAAUACCGCAUACGAUCUAAGGAUGAAAGCGGGGGAUCGCAAGAUCUCGCGCGCUUGGAGCGGCCGACACCAGAUUAGCUAGUUGGUGGGGUAAAGGCCCACCAAGGCGCCGAUCGGUAGCUGGUCGGAGAGGACGACCAGCCACACUGGAACUGAGACACGGUCCAGACUCCUACGGGAGGCAGCAGUGGGGAAUUUUGGACAAUGGGCGCAAGCCUGAUCCAGCAAUGCCGCGUGCAGGAUGAAGGCCUUCGGGUUGUAAACUGCUUUUGUACGGAACGAAACGGCCCUUUCUAAUACAGGGGGCUAAUGACGGUACCGUAAGAAUAAGCACCGGCUAACUACGUGCCAGCCGCCGCGGUAAAAC